rnacentral:rRNA from 1 species
UCCUACGGGAGGCAGCAGUCGGGAAUUUUGGGCAAUGGGCGAAAGCCCGACCCAGCAACGCCGCGUGAAGGAUGAAGUAUUUCGGUAUGUAAACUUCGAAAGAAUGGGAAGAAUAAAUGACGGUACCAUUUAUAAGCUCCGGCUAACUACGUGCCAGCAGCCGCGGUAAUA